rnacentral:rRNA from 1 species
UUUAGAACGGGCGAAACCGCGAAUGGCUCAGGAACCGGACCUAAUCCUCGGGACCGUAAUCCUCCUCUUUGGAGGCGAUGGAUAACUGUGGCAAUUCUAGAGCUAAUACAUGUGACACAAGCCGCGAUCGGUCGGCGCGCAGCCGUCGCCUUCGCCUUUACUGCGCGUGGGCACCCGCGUCGAUCGUUCCGGGUCGCGGCGCUACAUAUUAGACUGAGACCGAUGCGCGUUCUUCCGUCCUCCCGUUCGUCGUCGUUAGCUCCUCGCUUCGGCGGGGCUGCGAGCGCGCGGCGGCGGGGCUACUAUGGGCGGCGCGCUCCGCUUUGGUGACUCUGGAUAACUCACUGGUCGAUCGCACCGGCUUUCAUGCCUGGCGACGGGUCUCUCGAGGGUCCGCCCUAUCAACUGUCGACGGUCGGUUAAGUGCCUACCGUGGUUACUACGGGUAACGGGGAAUCG